AUGCAUGUAUUUGAUAGAUCUGGAGCAGUUAAUAUCUGCUGCUAAGGUUUCUACUACAGAUGCAAGCAAAAAAGAUCCCUGUGCUUUCUGUCUAUCUGAUUGUGGCAGCCAAGAUUGAAUGAGGGGAUACAAGA